UUGGGGUUGAAGGAGGAGACCAUGAGGGAGGAGAGAGAAGAUGGAGAAAGGACAAGACUACAUGGGUGCUCCGAUCGGCCACAGGAAAGUGUAGCCUGGAUCUGAAGCCGGACGGAAUUAAGAUCAGCUGCGUAGGUCAACUGUGCGGCCAUAGGAGACUAGCAGAUUCAUCUUGUACCCGAGUUCAGGGAAGACUGCAGAAGAGAGGGCGGAAAGGUAAGAGCCAGAGACAAGGAGUUGGCUGCAAGGCUGUGUAUCCUGGUAACAUCAGAAGCUGCAUAUAUAAAGUCUCACCAAUGUGACUACCCAAGCAUGAGCUGAACAAGGAGGACACCAACCAACACACCAAGCUGUACUGGGAAAGUUCCAGGUGACCUCAGCCCUACACAGAGAACUCCAGGCAACUAAGAAAUGUCAGGAGCAAGAGAAAUCUCUCCCCGAGGGAAGAGCUCACCAACUGCUUAUCGAAUACCAAGUGGU